rnacentral:rRNA from 1 species
CGGAUGAGGGGUGCUUGCACCUCGAUUCAGCGGCGGACGGGUGAGUAAUGCCUAGGAAUCUGCCCGAUAGUGGGGGACAACGUUUCGAAAGGAACGCUAAUACCGCAUACGUCCUACGGGAGAAAGUGGGGGCUCUUCGGACCUCACGCUAUCGGAUGAGCCUAGGUCGGAUUAGCUAGUUGGUGGGGUAAAGGCUCACCAAGGCGACGAUCCGUAACUGGUCUGAGAGGAUGAUCAGUCACACUGGAACUGAGACACGGUCCAGACUCCUACGGGAGGCAGCAGUGGGGAAUAUUGGACAAUGGGCGAAAGCCUGAUCCAGCCAUGCCGCGUGUGUGAAGAAGGUCUUCGGAUUGUAAAGCACUUUAAGUCGGGAGGAAGGGCUGUAAGCGAAUACCUUGCAGUUUUGACGUUACCGACAGAAUAAGCACCGGCUAACUUCGUGCCAGCAGCCGCGGUAAUACGAAGGGUGCAAGCGUUAAUCGGAAUUACUG